UGCUUGACAUGAUUGGCUUCGUAGAUCCCGCUAAUACUGGUGUCAUUGGCUACGGAAAUCCGACUGAACGGGCUCGUUCUUUGUCAGUUUCUUAUGAAAGAGGGAAGCCUGGUCUGAUUUUUUGGGUCCCCUAUAAUUCAGGCUGUCAUUGGAUGUUGACGGUGGCGAACCCCACUGAAGAAGUUCUGUAUUUCAUGGAUCCGCUAAAAAGGUGACUCAUCACCAGUGAAUAGAGAACUAUUGUGGACAACUCCAUCAAAAUAUUCAAUGCACAAAAACAUAGGAAAGGCCGAAAUACAGUUCAAUGGAAAAACUGUGCAAUGGUGGAUAAGACUUGUGGAUAUUGGAUUACGCAUUACAUGAGGGAUAUAGUGGAGGACAAAAACCAAGAGUGGAGUGCUAAG